CAGCGAUGUUCUUCCUUUCUCGCUUCUCAUGUUGGUCGUAUCGUGUAUGAGCAGUACCUCUGGUCGUAUUGCUGCUUGAACGUGGAGGAGGCCGCCAGCGGCAGAAAGUUUCGCCUCACGCUCACCAUUCCUGGUGGGAGGUCUCUCGAGUACGAUCCCAGCAUCACCAUCGAUGAAGCAGGUGUUGCCAACGCCAUACUGAACAUGGCAUGGGAUUGAUCGCUAGUUUUCUUUUCUCCUUCGCCUGUAUCUGGCAAUCAUCUCAACGCGUAGUCAGUCGUAAGAACUCUUUCAAUCAAAACAUGAUUUUUAAGGCUUUUGUUUUGCAAACCUGGUAAUCAUUCUGUCCGAGGACGAGCGCCCCGUGAGUCGGCAGUCAUGAGUCGACAGUCAGACACAGAUAGCUCCAAAAGAUACCUGAAACUCCAGACACGAUAAAUUCCUCUGCAAAGCUGCUACCAACGCGCUCUGGUUCUUCUGUAUAUUUCAAUGUAGCC
rnacentral:lncRNA from 1 species